ensembl:snRNA U5 U5 spliceosomal RNA
AUACUCUGGUUUCACUUCAGAUCGAAUAAAUCUUCUGCCUUUUACGAAAGAUUUCCACGGAGAGGAACAACUCUUGAGUUUUUGGUCAAUGUUUUGAGGUUUUGCUUCGGCAGGGCU